CUUCCUUCAACUCAACCUAAUUUCGCCGCAUCCCCAUUCCUGCCCCAACGCCUUUUUCUUUCUUCUCCACACUUAUUAUCACCUUUAGCAGGACAUUGGCACCUCUUUGUCGUCAGAUUUCAAGUUGUUAUCACUGGAGGGAGAAAGCGACGUUGAUUUAUCGUGGUGCUCGUCGGAGUCUACUGAUUCAAAGUGAAGUAACAGAGAGGCGGCGCUGAUCCUUUUUCACCAAAACGGGAGACGGCAAGGGGGUUUACUGGUACGACGGAGAGGAUGGAGAAGAGAGG
rnacentral:lncRNA from 1 species